AUGGUGGGACAGAUAAACGAGCAAUUUAUGUCACGCGUGGGAGGUGAUUCUCUGUAGACACUGUAAAGGAUACUGAACAAGUAACAUCAUACCCUGUAGAAUUUCUUAAUUCUUUAGAACUGUUGGGAGUACCUUCAAACAAACUGAGGCUGAAAGUAGGCGUUUCUGUCCUUUUGAUGCGGAAUUUAGAUGCACGAAGACUGUGUAAUGGCACACGGUUGCAAGUAACACACCUCGGUCGCAAUAUUGUAAAAGCAAUCAUUAUGACUGGAAUGGCAAAAGGAGAAUGUUUUAAUCCCCCAUACAUAUACCCAUAAUUCCGACAGAUUUGCAAUUCCAAUUUAAGAGAUUACAGUUUACGCUGAAAAUCGCAUUCGCUAUGACGAUAAAUAAAGCUCAGGGGCAAACAUUAAAAGUAGCCGGCAUUAAUUUAGAAAAGAGUUGUUUUUCUCACGGACAAUUAUACGUGGCUUGCUCACGUGUUUCAGAAUCUCCAUGUGUUGGCCAGAGAGGGAAAAACAACGAACAUAGUUUACAAAAAUGUACUAUAGUAAUAAGGCCCCUUAUUUUUAGCUUCCUACAUUAUUAUACUACUUACAUUAAGUUAGUACAUCCUACGUAGACGAUGUUGCGGAUGUCACACUGUCUAACAUCGAGGGUUGGCAGAAAACAUUCGGAGCUAUCCAUUAUGUGCUUAGGUUGCUUUUGAAGAGAUUUUGAUGUGAAGUUGAGGACCGCAACACGAUAGUGGGACAUUGUUGCAGGGGGACUUACAGCCGGGAGAAAACGAAAAAACUUAUGCGGACGAAGUCGCGGAUACAAGGACAAAUUUAUCGCUUACUUGGGGCACUGUUACCAUUACCUGAUGCAUAUCAUUAACUUUUACAAAUUUUUUUAUGGGCAAUUCAUAUGCGGAAGUUGAUAAUCGUUGUGCUCACAAUCCAACAGUGAAGAGAACCAUUGUCCAAGAUUUACAAAUGUUUCUUUAACAGAAUAACAAUUUACAAACAUGUACAAAAUAGCAUUGGAUCGGAUACCAUCUGAUAGUCAUAAUAUUAUCAUUCGAAAUGACAAAACACCUGCCGAUAAACACACAAGGAGUUCACCUACCAUUGACUCU